rnacentral:rRNA from 1 species
AUUGAACGCUGGCGGCAGGCCUAACACAUGCAAGUCGAGCGGAUGAAGGGAGCUUGCUCCUGGAUUCAGCGGCGGACGGGUGAGUAAUGCCUAGGAAUCUGCCUGGUAGUGGGGGAUAACGUCCGGAAACGGGCGCUAAUACCGCAUACGUCCUGAGGGAGAAAGUGGGGGAUCUUCGGACCUCACGCUAUCAGAUGAGCCUAGGUCGGAUUAGCUAGUUGGUGGGGUAAAGGCCUACCAAGGCGACGAUCCGUAACUGGUCUGAGAGGAUGAUCAGUCACACUGGAACUGAGACACGGUCCAGACUCCUACGGGAGGCAGCAGUGGGGAAUAUUGGACAAAGGGCGAAAGCCUGAUCCAGCCAUGCCGCGUGUGUGAAGAAGGUCUUCGGAUUGUAAAGCACUUUAAGUUGGGAGGAAGGGCAGUAAGUUAAUACCUUGCUGUUUUGACGUUACCAACAAAAUAAGCACCGGCUAACUUCGUG